UGGGGAAUCUUGGGCAAUGGGCGAAAGCCUGACCCAGCCACGCCGCGUGCAGGACGACGGCCUUCGGGUUGUAAACUGCUUUUGCGUGGGACGAUAACGACGGUACCACGCGAAUCAGCCCCGGCUAACUCUGUGCCAGCAGCCGCGGUAAUACAGAGGGGGCAAGCGUUGUCCGGACUUACUGGGCGUAAAGCGCACGCAGGUGGUAGCGCAAGUGGGGUGUGAAAGCCGCCAGCUCAACUGGCGGAGGCCAUCCCAAACUGCGUCACUUGAGGCCUGUAGAGGUAUGUGGAAUUGCCGGUGUAGUGGUGAAAUGCGUAGAGAACGGUAGGAACACCCAGGGGGAAACCAGCAUACUGGACAGGACCUGACACUCAGGUGCGACAGCGUGGGGAGCGAACCGGAUUAGAUACCCGUGUAGUCC
rnacentral:rRNA from 1 species